AUGCCACACAGUCAUUGUUCACUUGCCAAGAGGCAGGGCUCUCAGGAAGGUGACUGUGGGGAGGUACAGAAAAUGAAGCAGACCAGUGUCCUUCCUUGUCCCCCAGUAUGCAGGGUACUGUUUCCCAGGCGGUCCCACAGAACAGCAGUGCCUCCCGAAAUUCUUCACUACAGACCUGCCACCGCCUUCAGCAUGCUAAUUGUGCAUGGUGGGGUGGCUCAGAGACCUGGCACAGCUCUGCUCACCUUUCCAACAACAUCAUACCCAGCACUUCACAAAAUAUCAUAGAGAAACCCUUUUACUUUAAAGCACACAGCAUUUCACUCUUGAAAAGCACUAAAUCAGUUCUGUGGGGACAAACAUUUACACCAUGCCUGCCAUUCAUGCCUGCCUUACCUUUAUGGGUUUCUCUCACAUGUUUCAGAAGUUCCGUCCAUGUUUUUGCCACAAAGGAACAUCCUUUUUGA
rnacentral:lncRNA from 1 species